AUUGAACGCUGGCGGCAUGCCUUACACAUGCAAGUCGAACGGCAGCACGGGUGCUUGCACCUGGUGGCGAGUGGCGAACGGGUGAGCAAUAUAUCGGAACGUACCUUAUUGUGGGGGAUAACGCAGCGAAAGCUGUGCUAAUACCGCAUAAUCCCUAAGGGGGAAAGCGGGGGACCGUAAGGCCUCGCGCAAUUAGAGCGGCCGAUACCUGAUUAGCUAGUUAGUGAGGUAAAGGCUCACCAAGGAAACGAUCAGUAGCUGGUCUGAGAGGACCAGCAGCAACACUGGGACUGGGACACGGCCCAGACUCCUACGGGAGGCAGCAGUGGCGAAUUUUGGACAAUGGGGGCAACCCUGAUCCAGCAAUGCCGCGUGAGUGAAGAAGGCCUUCGGGUUGUAAAGCUCUUUUGUCAGGGAAGAAACAGCAGCUCUAACACAGUAUGCGAAUGACGGUACCUGAAGAAUAAGCACCGGCUAACUACGUGCCAGCCGCCGCAGUAA
rnacentral:rRNA from 1 species